GGGAAAGCAGGCAGGCACAUUCGCAGCCCACUUGUCGUCCAUCCCUCAGGGUGGCUGGGGUCUCCCUACUCUUACCUUCCAGGUGAGGACGUGGGGUGUCCAUACUGUUGAAAGAAGAAGCACUGCCCCCCACCCAAGAUCCUGAUUUGUCUGCUGUGUGACCUCAGCCUUCUGGAGACAGAGCUCGAGGGAGGAGACUGGCGGGCAGCUGGGCAGCUGGGCAGCUGUGGACGGAGGCCGGGCACAACACAACCAGACUCUGCGAGAGUUGGUGCCAAGUCCAGCUCCAGGCAGCAGGACAAGGAUGCCGCCAAGCCUGGGGCUCGGGACAGGGAGGAAAGAUGCGGGCUGGCCCACUGUGUGCCCGGGGGUGAGGCACUGUGAAGAGGCUCCGGGUCGUGAGCGUCUGUACCAGGAAGCAGCGAGUGCAGAAUAAGGGGCCCAGAGCUGGAUUUAUCUGGACCUUUCCAUUAUCAUGCUAUGUGACCCUAGUCAAGCUCCUCACCCUCUCUGGCCCUUCUCUCCAGGAGUCAUGUCUUUGCUGAGACUGAAAUGAUUCUCUAACUCUGCCCU
rnacentral:lncRNA from 1 species